rnacentral:rRNA from 1 species
AACGAACGCUGGCGGCAGGCUUAACACAUGCAAGUCGAGCGCGUAGCAAUACGAGCGGCAGACGGGUGAGUAACGCGUGGGAAUCUACCCAACCCUACGGAAUAACGCAUGGAAACGUGUGCUAAUACCGUAUACGCCCUUCGGGGAAGGAUUAUCGGGGAGUGGAUGAGCCCGCGUUGGAUUAGCUAGUUGGUGGGGUAAAGGCCGUACCAAGGCGACGAUCCAUAGCUGGUCUGAGAGGAUGAUCAGCCACAUUGGGACUGAGACACGGCCCAAACUCCUACGGGAGGCAGCAGUGGGGAAUAUUGGACAAUGGGCGCAAGCCUGAUCCAGCCAUGCCGCGUGAGUGAUGAAGGCCUUAGGGGUUUGUAAAAGCUCUUUCACCGGUGAAGAUAAUGACGGUAACCGGAGAAGAAGCCCCGGCUAACUUCGUGCCAGCAGCCGCGGU